ACGGAAGGCAGCAGUGGGGAAUAUUGCACAAUGGGCGCAAGCCUGAUGCAGCGACGCCGCGUGAGGGAUGACGGCCUUCGGGUUGUAAACCUCUUUCAGCAGGGAAGAAGCCUUUUGGGGUGACGGUACCUGCAGAAGAAGCACCGGCUAACUACGUGCCAGCAGCCGCGGUAAUACGUAGGGUGCGAGCGUUGUCCGGAAUUAUUGGGCGUAAAGAGCUUGUAGGCGGUUUGUCGCGUCUGCUGUGAAAAUCCGGGGCUCAACCCCGGACUUGCAGUGGGUACGGGCAGACUGGAGUGUGGUAGGGGAGACUGGAAUUCCUGGUGUAGCGGUGGAAUGCGCAGAUAUCAGGAGGAACACCGAUGGCGAAGGCAGGUCUCUGGGCCACUACUGACGCUGAGAAGCGAAAGCAUGGGGAGCGAACAGGAUUAGAUACCCUGGUA
rnacentral:rRNA from 1 species